rnacentral:lncRNA from 1 species
CCGGGAGCGGGGCUGGGCUGUGCGCCGGGAGCAGAGCCCGCAGCCGCAGGGGAGAACCGCCGGGAGCCACGGCGGGACCGGCAGCCCGCAGCCGCCGAGCUCGGCGCGGAGCAUCGGCACAUCCCCGUUCCGCCGGGGGCGGCUCUGCCAACCCCCCCGCCGCCUCCCCGCCUCUCUCCCUCCCUCCUUCCCUCCCUCCUUCCUUCCCUCCCCGCCCCUCCGGAGCGACAUCCCUGCGAGUUUGCCUGCCUGCCCGCGCCCGUCGCUGGGCGCUCGCCGCCGCAUCUCCCUCUCCAUCAACUCCUGGGAGCUGCCGGCGGAGGGCAGGGAGCAGAAGUUGCGGCCAGCCCGAGUGGAAAAGUAGCGGCAGAGCGGAAGAGGCCGAAGCCGAGCGCAGCCCAGCCCGGCCCAGCCGAGCGGGGCCGGCGCGGCAGCCGCCACCCGCAGCCCCCAGCCGGGGCUGGCCCCGCGCCCCGGGCCGCGCCGGCCGGAGCAGAGCGACGCAGCCCCGCGGGAUCCGGCGCGGACCCGCCGCGAAAGAGCCUACAUGCGAAGUGAAAGGAAACCUGAAACUCCUCUUCUUACAAGAAAGUUUUGGCUUUCUGCCUCUUUCACAUGUUUUCCUUUUGCAUCAUAAUGGAAGGAGCAGGAUUUUUUGAAUCAUCGUGGCCAAAUUUGGGCAUCGCUAGCUGAAGAAAAGAUUAAAAAAGACUUGAAAAUAUGUCAACAUGACUCUUAAUUCAGAUGCAUCUUUCACAGAGAGGAGUAGUGGUUGAAAGCGUUGCAGUUUCAUCAAAAGGAUCUAAUGGAAGAUCUAUGUUGAUUUUUUUUAUUAUUGAUUUCCUUCCUGUCCAUCCAUGAAUCCCAAACGAGAAAGAUGGAAAGAGUGUGUAAGGAGAUUGAGAAAAGGCGAAGAGUAAAGACAGUAACUUCAGUUUUGGAGUCAGUUUUGGAGUGUUGUAUAUUCCCUAUUUUAUCAAAUCUAGCACAGUAUUUUGAAUAAAUUUUAUAAUUUUGUGAUCAGUGGAGUUUUUGUCAGCUCUAAAAGUGGAAUUUGGACUGAUUGAAAGCUUUAAGCUUUUUGAAAAAGCAAAUGUAUGACUCCAAUUCCCUUUUCAGAUCAUGCUUUUCAGGUUACCUAGAGAUAGUGUUUCAGUCUGUUACUGUGCAGUUGACCUGAGCUUUAUAUGCGUAUCUUAGAGAUUUUGCUUUUUUCCUUGAUUUUAGUGCUUAUGCUUGUAGUGUUGUAUUUGAGAAAAGUGUGAACAGACAAGGCACCUGAGAUUUAACUUUUCAAGAGCCUUGUCAUUUCAAUGUUGUAUCUCAGAUUACAAGUAGCCUGAGCCUUUGUUGUAAUGCACAGUAUACAAUACGUCUUUUCUCAUAAAAAUAUGCCUUAAGAUUUUUUUUUUUUAACAAACUGGAUGAAAGUUUGAACACUGUUUUGUGAAGAAAUGUAUGUCUGGGGAA